rnacentral:tRNA from 1 species
UCCCUGGUGGUCCAGUGGUUAAGACUCUGCACUUCCAAUGCAGGAGGGUGCAGGUUCGAUCCCUGGUUGGUGAG